CCUUGGCAGGGAUUAUACAUUUUGCUAGUGGUGCAUCAGCACCAUUUUGUUUUUGAGGAGGAGGAUUCUACAGAAAGAGGAGCGGAAAGCAGCAAAGACGGAAAGUCCUCUGUCAUUUGCUGCCAUCUAUCAGCAGUGAAGAGCAAGACAGUGGCUGCCAGGCCUCCUGCUGAUACCAUUCCGGAUGCUGAUGACCAAUCCCUCACUCAGACAAGGAGGCUGGAAUCUCCAAGGACAAGUGUUUUUCCAGCCAUGUCUCAUCAGACCUUUGGAUAGACACUGCCAUUUUCUUCUCCUAACUGGAACAACAUGGAAGACCUUAUAUGUUCAGCUAAUGCCUAAUUCAAAAGUGGAGAGACUGCAGAUAUUUUAGGAUGAGUAGUUCACAGCUUCCAUCCAUCAGUGAGAUCCAAAGGGGUUUUGCAGGCUCUUCUAAAAGAAAAUACAGUUUUCUAAAGCAAAGCAGCACUCUGCUGUGUGUGAUACCCCACUGAAGUCAACAACAAGUGGGAUACUAUCAAACAAGUUGGUAUUUCACAGUCUGUUCCUAUUUUGAAAGAUAAAUCCUGCCCAGAGAAGUUACAUAGGAUUGCCUUUUAGCUCACGUAAGAACUGGAAAGAGACUAAAAUGAGAGAACUGACAACUGCAGAUGAAGAUGCAACGGAUGCAUUUACCACUGCAAAUAAAAACACCAUCAUCUACUCAAGCCCUUAAAGUGAGGUUUGCUACAACUCAGCUUUGGCAACCACAGAGUAGCUGCGUGAAACAGCAGUGUCCAUGGUGAGCAGUGUUGCCAUGGGACAGUGUUGCUCUGAUUUCCUAGAAGAGCUGGAUCACUCGUGUUGACCUUUGCGAGUUCACUGUCAUCACAUGCUCCUCUGCAGCUGAUUUCUGUUUGGCAGGGCUAUGCGACAGAAAAAGCCACCUCAGUGCCUCAAGAGGAGAGAAAAAAAGUCUCUUUCCCCCAAGUUGGAUGCAUUUAUUUCAUAUCCAAAGAAUUGUUAUUUAUUCCAGAUAGCUGCAAGUAAUUUGGAGAGAAAUCAGCAGGAAACUCCUAUAAUGAGGCUUAAGUCUAUCAUAUUUUUUCCCUGCAGGCAUAACAGUUUCCAGAGAUAUAUUCAGGAGUUUCAGAUAUGUAAAGGAAACAGACUGUCAAAGCCAGAUUCUCUUGUGUGGAUUUAAGACAAUUUUGCUUUCCAUAUCUUAGUCAAUACGACACCUAAAGAAGAAAGCCAGGGAAUGGAGGGGGAAACAAAUUUUGCUAUAAAUUAAUUUAUUUCACCAAGCUGAAUUUUUCUUCUCCUCUUACAGUUACUGUCCAGUCUUGUAAGAACAGGAACCCACCAACUUUAGCUGGGAAAGAGUGAAGGCCAAACAAUAUCUUGUGAUAUAACUGAGGAUGGAUUUAACUGUCAUAA